AGAAUAAGCUUGUAGCGGGCUUAUGGAAACAUCUCAAAAUUAUGAGGUGAGCUUCUGCCACCAAUGGAAACAAAUGAUUGGAUUGAUAUCAACAAGGAGAUAAGAAACUUAUUUCACCGGGAGGACAAAUGAAGAACUUGGGUCAUUUAUAAGCACCAUAAAUAGCAACAAUCCUUAGGGAAAGCUUUAGGUGAAAUAUAACCCAAGAUAACUCCAAUGAAGAGAUUGAUGGAUUUAAAAUACCUCAUUCUUGACAACAUGUGAAUCAUGAAGCAUGAAGGGAAAUUGUCAAGAAUGACAUAACACCACCUCAAAAGAUAAGGUAGAAAGAAUUGCACUUCCGAAUGUAAGAUGAAGAAAUGCUUGAACUCCUCCAAACAAAACAUGUGUUGAACACCAUGUUUAUUUUAGAGUAUAGCUUGGCGGAUCUUGACUCCGAGAGAAAUCUUGACGAACAAUUGAAGAAUGAAAGGACUCCUUAACGAACCACCAUGUAGAGCCUCCAUGAAGAACUCCGGUAAACAAAAGGACGAUAGAAAGAAAAGAGAAGUUGAAAACACAAGGUGAAGCCUUGCGAUGAUUUAGAUGGAGCUUCGCGACGAGAUAAUGCGGAAAACUUGGAACUCCGGAAAGAAAAGAUGGACAACAUAUAACUGAUAUAUUGAUAUCACGAACAAACUCUGGUUGAAAGAAUUAAACACUUGGAUGAAACAAGAACAAGAAUUAUGUUAUGCGUAUCCUUUACCAAUUUAGAUUGAUGACAAGCAACGGAUUUGGCAUACUACUUAUUCUCGUAGAAAGGAUUAAGAGAGAUAUAGCGCAAACUUGAGAAGGUCUUCAACGAACCACCGGUAGGAUUGAAACAAUGAUUAAAUUGAUAUGAUAUCAAAGAAAAAGGAAUCUUGGACGAACCAUCGUAAGAAUUGAAAACGAACGAAGUAAAGGGAUGAAUUACCGGUAAGAAUUUGAAAACGAACGAAGAUACUUGGGUAAAUUUAGACACAAGAGAAUGAAGAGAUCACGAGCUGACUAGGGAAUACUUAAGCGAUGCACUGGUAAGAUUUGGAGAACGAGAGCUAAAACUGGAAUGAAUAAUUCUGAGAUGAUGGGCUCCGGAGAAUCAAACUGAAAAGACUUCUGAAUAGCUCCGGAUGGGUGAAAAGAAUUCUCACAAUCGAAAAUAAUUAUGAGAGGAUGGCAUAAGCUAGAACUAUGAAUCUUUGUAAGAACGGGUAAGGAUUUAAGAGGAACUCUUCUUCGGUCUUCAAAAUCCGAGAAUGACGACGAGAAAUACCACCAAAAUUAUUGAGACACUCCGGAACAAUGGAUAAUAGAAAUGAUGAACCAACGAUGGAAGAAUUUGAAAGAUCUUGGAGAAAGACAUAUGACUGAUGGAAUCCAUUCUUAUGUCAAACUUUGAAAUUAAAUUGAGAAUAACUCCGGAAAAGAAUUAGAAGAGUCAGGUAAGAUCCUGGAAAAAGACCUGUGGGUUAGGGCCCACUAAAAGAUACAUCGUUGAUCGAUUACUUGAAAGGGAGAUUGCACCGGUUGAAUUAAAUGGCUUGAAUGAGAUAACAACCUCAAAAUAGUUUGAACGGAUUAAGAAUGGAAGCUUGAAUUUUCUGAGAUAUCUUCAGCCCUCCGGAUACAAAUGAAUGGCGAAAAAUGGAUGAUUAAGAGGUGCACCGGCAUGAGAAAACAUUUGAAACGAGGAAAGGAAUAUGAUCAACACUGUAAGCUUGAAUUGGAUCCACCGGAGAAGAAACAACAACGAAGGAUGAUGAACUUGAAACUGUUGAGCAUCUUCAUGGGAAAUCACCGGAUAAGAACAUUGACGGAAAAGAAUGGAGAGACUUCCCAUCAAUAAGAUGGAUACCCGAUUAGAAAUCUGAGUCCUUGAAGAAAAGGGUGGGAGGGCGGGAAAACAAAGACGACUUUGGACGGAUUAAACAAACACCGUUGAGAAAACUUAGAAUUGAUCUUGCGAAUAUUGAAAGGAUAUGAUUAACUUGAAGAGAAGCACACCAGUUGGAAAGAAUUGAAAAUACAACCUUGAUGAUCAAGAAGGAUUAGCAUCCACAUAGAAAUAUGAGAACACCGCUUAGAAUAAGGUAUGGAAUCAACACUUGACAUCGAAGCAACUCGAAUACCACAACAAAAACAAAACAAGGAUUUGGCUCGCAGAAUAAGCCGGACACAAACAUAUGAUAGAUCCCAUAUCGUAUCAUGUGUCUGUUGGAAAGAUAUCCUACGAGAUACUUGAAUUCCUACUUAUAAACUCCCGAAACUUUCUGGUUAUUCAAUCUGGUGUUGGGGAUACAGGGACGCAAUAUAUCUCACCCAAACUAGCAAUCCCUAGAUCCAGCUGUAUCCAUCCGUCAACACAUAGCCAAGAAAACUUCGGAAAUCGUGUACCUCAACCUUUGAAAAGCAUCUGUUAUACGAGUUAUGGCAAUACUCCCAAACUCCCGCCCUAGUACUUGGUGGCAUCGAGGUGAUCUCACCAGCAACUGCAUAAAAGAGAUUUUCGAUGUCGGCAAAACUAGGUAUUCCAGAACUGCAACGAUAAAAUUGUAAUGACAACACCUCGGAGCUCAACUCCCCGGGACACGGCCACAACCCCUAAAUGUCAGGAGGCACCAAGAAGAAUGUUCUCGUCACAAAACCAUCGAAACGAUUCCAAGAUACCCGCGUGAUCCUAAAAAAAAUUUAGUGAAAUCUGAGGAGAGGAAAGUCAAAACAUCUACGUCAGGAUACCUCACCAGAGCGACGAAGGGACUGAGGAGUAAAAAGAAUCCUACUCUCUGAUAUAUAUAAUCCUAAGACUCAAAACAUUUUUGUUCUAGACUCAACAACGUCAGCGAUUCGAUCAAGCAGGGGGCUCCUAAGUCGGGGAUGGCUCUGAUUACCAACUUGUAACGCCCACGAUGCGGCUAUAUCUCCCACGUGUCGAGGCACGACUUGGAAGCAUAACCGCAUGGUGGUUUUGUCGCAAGAAGGGUCAUCUUCACACAAUCCCAUGUAAUGAACAAGAAUGGGAUAAAGAGUUGGCUUACAAUCGCCACUUCACACAAUACAUAAAUUAAACAUACAUCAUUCAGAAUAUAAUCAAGGUCCGACUACGGAACCAAAAAUAAAAGAAGACAACCCCAAAUGCUAGAUCCCCGGUCGUCCCAACUAGGCUCCACUACUGAUCAUCAGGAAACGAAACAUAGUAACGACCAAGGUCCUCGUCAAACUCCCACUUGAGCUCGGUUGCGUCACCUGCACUGGUAUCAUCGGCACCUGCAACUGUUUGGAAGUAUCUGUGAGUCAUGAGGACUCAGCAAUCUCACACCCGCGAGAUCAAGACUAUUUAAGCUUAUGGGUAGGAAAGGGGUAAUGGGGUGGAGUUGCAGCAAGCACUAAACAUAUAUGGUGGCUAACAUAUGCAAAUAAGAGCGAGAUGAGAAGCAACGCAACGGUCGAGAAGCUAGAAGUGAUCAAGAAGUGAUCCUGAAACUACUCACGCACAACCAUAACACAAGAACUGUGUUCACUUCCCGGACUCCGCCGAAAAGAGACCAUCACGGCUACACAUGCGGUUGAUGCAUUUUAAUUAAGUCAAGUGUCAAGUUAUCUACAACCGGACAUUAACAAAUUCCCAUCUGCCACAUAACCGCGGGCACGGCUCUCAAAAGUUUAUACCCUGCAGGGGUGUCCCAAUUUAGCCCAUCACAAGCUCUCACGGUCAACGAAGGAUAUUCCUUCUCCCAAGAAGACCCGAUCAGACUCGGAAUCCCGGUUACAAGACAUUUCGACAAUGGUGAAACAAGACCAGCAAAGCCGCCCGAAUGUGCCGACAAAUCCUGAUAGGAGAUACACAUAUAUCGUUCUCAGGGCACACCGGAUUGUCCAAACUUCCGGUAGGCGAGCCUAGAGUUGCCCCUGGUGGCCACCGAUGGCUGACAGAUUGGACCAACACUUAGAGGAGCACUGGCCCGGGGGUUUAAAAUAAAGAUGACCCUUGAGUCUGCAGAACCCAAGGGAAAAGGCUUAGGUGGCAAAUGUUAAAACCAAGGUUGGGCCUUGCUGGAGGAGUUUUAUUCAAAGCGAACUGUCAAGGGGUUCCCAUAACACCCAACCGCGUAAGGAAAUAAAAAUCAAGGAACAUAACACCGGUAUGACGGAAACUAUGGCGGCAAGAGUGGAACAGAACACCAGGCAUAAGGCCGAGCCUUCCACCCUUUACCAAGUAUAUAGAUGCAUUAAUUAAAAUAAGAGAUAUUAUGAUAUCCCAACAUAAUCAUGAUCCAACAUGAUCAUGAUCCAACAUGGAUCAAUCUUCAACUUCACCUGCAACUAACAACGCUAUAAGAGGGGCCGAGCAAAACCGGUAACAUAGCCAUACAACGGUUUGCUAGGAAGGUGGGUUAGAGGCUUGAAAUGGCAAUAUGGGAGGCAUGGUAAACAAGUGGUUGGUAGCGCGACAUAGCGAUAGAACGAACAACUAGCAAGCAAAGAUAGAAGUGAUUUCGAGGGUAUGGUCAUCUUGCCUGAGAUCCCGGUAGGAAGAAGAACGAGUCCAUGAAGAAACAAACGGAUGUAGUCGAACGAAUCCUCACAACUCCGGAACGAAACCGAAGCUAACGAGACAAGCAAACCGGAAAGAAGCAAACAACAUGGUAAACCAACAAGCAUAAACAUGGCAUGAUGCACAAUCAAGUAUGAUUCAUGUCCGGUUUAAUGAGGCAUGACAUGGCAAAGUGCACAAACAAAACUACAAGUUAAGUGGAGCUCAAUAUGCAACGAGUUGCAUAUUGACGAAACACCACAUGACUUAUAUAGUUAUCUCUCGUUUAUGUACUCAACAAUAUUAAAUGUUGGUCAACAUGGCAAGAGAUGAGGUAUAAGUAAACUAGCUAUUUAGGCAAGUUUAAAUGAGGCCGGAACAACAAACAAUAAUUCCGGAAAAUCCUCAUAUGCAUAUUUCGAAUUUGCUACUGUUCUGCCCUAAACACAAUUUUAAUGUUGUUAGACAGCAAAAUAAAGUGUACCAAGUUAUUCUAUGCAUUUUUCUAGACAAUUUACAUAUAUACUUUAUUUAAUUCGGAGCUACGGUUAUUAAGUUAUAAAAUAAAGCAUUUUAGCAUGGCAUUUGAGCAAAUUAAAGCAAACAGCAUCUUAAACAUUUUAAACAUAGAUGGAAGUAGCAUAUUAUGAAACUAGAUAAAAUUCUAAGCAUUUUACAUGUUUAAAUCAUUUUAAUCCGAUGCACGGUUGUUGAGUUAUUAAAUUCAUGAACAUGAGGGUGCAAUCUGUAAAACCGCAGUUCCUGGAAAAAAAUAGCUAAAAUCGUUCCGUGGGAAAAAAACAUGAAUUGGGCCGAAUCUGCUGGCCAACACUGCACAGGGGGCCGCUAGAUCUGAUGCUCAUCAUGGGCUUGGCCCGCUUGGUGGAGGACGAAGUAGCAGGCCGGCGUGGCAUGGGGCCGGGCCUUGACGAGGCUGUGACCCAGUCAUCUGGGUGAGGCGCGGUCGACGACGGGGUCAACGCGGGUGAGGCGCUCGCUUGGACGGAUCGAGCAGGCGAAGCAGAGGUUUGCGGGCGCGCUCCUCUGCUCGACAAGAAGCAGAGCAGAGCAGCGGCGUCAGGGAUCUCCGGCGCGGCGGCGAAGGACGGAGGGCGGCGGCAACGGCUCUGGGAGGCGGCCAUGGAUGGUGCUGCGGGUCCUGUUGACGAACAGAGAGAGAGAGCUGAGAAAAUAAGAGAGGGAGAGACAAACAGAGUGGGAGGGAAGGAAGGGAUGCGAGACGGGGACCUGCUGGUCCGGCGGCUCUGCUCAGAGAGGUGGCUGGCGGCGUGGGAGGCUAGCGAGGCAGGGGAGCAACGGCCUGGUGGCGACGACUCGCACGGGAAGAGUAGAGGAGGCUCGGGCGCAGCGAGGCUGCUGCUGCUUGAAGGAGACGAAGGCGCGGCGACGGAUCGAAAGAAGAGGUCGGCCAUGGUGUCCUAUGGAGGCAACAGAGAGAGAUGAGCGGGGAAAGGAAUAGAAAUAGAGAAAGGGAAGGAAGAGCAGGGAGGAAGGGCGCGGUCCUGCGUGCUCGGGGCGAGGGCGUCAUGGACCGAGAGAAGGGAGCUUGAGCUCCUGGAUGCUGCUGCUCGAGGAGGGCCGUGGGGAUCUCUGGUUGGUGGGAUGGAUCGAUGGGAGGAGGCUGCACCGCGCGCGUGACCGAUCUCGCGGAGGAGGGGAUCGACCAGGAGGCAGGGACGGCGCGGCUGAUGAAGGAGGAGGCGCGCGGCAGAAGAGCUCAUGGAUUUUUGGGUGGCGCAGAAAACACGGGAGGUGGUCGGAGGGAGGUGGAUCUGAGAUGGAUGGUGGUUGGCUCGUUGGGGAAGACGAGGAGGAGACCAGGUGGGCUGGCGGCGGCGCGAUGGGAAAGGAUGGAUGGAUGGGACAAAGCUAGGGUUAGACUAUAUAUAUAGGUACGGGAUUAGGGUAGGGUUAAUCCGGUCUGUUCCAUCAUAAUCGGGCGAUCGAGAAUAACUAGGUUAGAGAGUCCAAAUAAGAAAACAUAGAUGUUUUAUUGAUGUUUGGGGAUGAUCCGGACCCAACGGUGAUGACUGAGCGGGACAGCUUUCGGACGUGCGCAAGGGAUUUGACAAAAGGUCAUGGAGGCAAGGGGGAAAACGAAGAACAAGGUUGGUCACGGAACGGUCAACGAAAGCAAGGGGGACGCCACAACUACGAGGGGCUGCAAGUUUUGAAAAAUGACGGCAACGAAGUGUUGAUGCAAUGCGGAUGAUGCGAUGAUGAAUGCAACAAACAAAUAAAUACACGAAACGAUAAAGAAAAACAUGGAAGGCGUCUGAAGCGUCGGUCUCAGGGCGUUACAACACUCCACCACUACAAGAGGAUCUCGUCCCGAGAUCUAGGAUGGCACUGGAGAAAAGUGAAAGAGGUAAAACAAAGUUGCUUCUUUGACAAACGAGUGAAACCAAUGAACCUUGAGAGGUUGAAAAGUUGAAAGAAAGAACACAACAGAGUUGAACACAUUUGAGAGCACUCCAGUAGAAAAGAGAACCAAGGAACACCAUGUGAACCUUGGAGGUUGCAAAGCUAUGAAUGACGAGCACAAUGGACAAGAAGGAAUCGAAACCACUAUGGUUGAAACGAGAUAAACAAGGAACAAGGAAGAACAAAUUCGGACAGCACUCCGGUUGAAAAGAGAUGCAAGACUUGACAAAAUGGGAAGAACUUGAAAAGAGGACACGACACUCCGGUUAAAUGGAUAAGCAAGAAAAAGAACAUGAUCUUUACAAAACGAGGUGAUGGGUGAAGAGAGCAACAUCACAAUGCCUCCGGAAACAAUGCAAGAUAGUUAGAUAGUUGGAAUGAAUAGAAUGAAUAAUGAAACCAACAUCUCCUACCAUAAAUGAAUUUGAAAGAGCAUCCUUAUGAAGUAGGAUUGAACGGAGUUGUUUGAAAAACAACAACGGUAAGAAUAAGCUUGUGGCGGGCUUAUGGAAACAUCUCAAAAUUAUGAGGUGAGCUUCUGCCACCAACGGAAACAAAUGAUUGGAUUGAUAUCAACAAGGAGACGAGAAACUUAUUUCACCGGGAGGACAAAUGAAGAACUUGGGUCAUUUAUAAGCACCAUAAAUAGCAACAAUCCUUAGGGAAAGCUUUAGGUGAAAUAUAACCCAAGAUAACUCCAAUGAAGAGAUUGAUGGAUUUAAAAUACCUCAU
rnacentral:lncRNA from 1 species